AGAGUUUGAUUAUGGCUCAGGAUGAACGCUAGCUACAGGCUUAACACAUGCAAGUCGAGCGGAACUGCUUCGGCAGUUAGCGGCAGACGGGUGAGUAACACGUAUCCAACCUUCCCCUUACUCGGGUAUAGCCUCGGGAAACUGAGAGUAAUCCCCGAUGUGGUGUACGCUUCGCAUGUAAUGCACACCAAAGAUUAAUCGGUAAGGGAUGGGGAUGCGUUCCAUUAGCUAGUAGGCGGGGUAACGGCCCACCUAGGCGAUGAUGGAUAGGGGUUCUGAGAGGAAGGUCCCCCACAUUGGAACUGCGACACGGUCCAAACUCCUACGGGAGGCAGCAGUGAGGAAUAUUGGUCAAUGGCCGAGAGGCUGAACCAGCCAAGUAGCGUGCAGGAUGACGGCCCUACGGGUUGUAAACUGCUUUUGUGCGGGAAUAACGGUCGACACGUGUGUUGAUGUGCAUGUACCGUACGAAUAAGGAUCGGCUAACUCCGUGCCAGCCGCGGC
rnacentral:rRNA from 1 species